UCUCGCGAUAACGAAGCGCCCUGGGCAGAAGUCGGGAGGUCGGGUCUCCUGGCUGGCGAGGCGCAUUGGCGAUAAAUUCCAUACCACUUUCAUAUAGCACCAGGAAGGCUGAAACCAAAAUUCAAGUUCAAGGUCAGCUUGGACAACUAAGUGAACCGUCUUUAAAACGAACAA